CCUACGGGAGGCAGCAGUAGGGAAUUUUCCACAAUGGACGAAAGUCUGAUGGAGCAACGCCGCGUGUGUGAUGAGGGGUUUCGGCUCGUAAAACACUGUUGUAAGAGAAGAAUGACAUUGAGAGUAACUGUUCAGUGUGUGACGGUAUCUUACCAGAAAGGAACGGCUAAAUACGUGCCAGCAGCCGCGGUAAUACGUAUGUUCCAAGCGUUAUCCGGAUUUAUUGGGCGUAAAGCGAGCGCAGACGGUUAGUUAAGUCCCAAGUGAAAGCGCACAGCUUAACUGAUGAAGUGCGUUGGAAACUGGAUAACUUGAGUGCAGUAGAGGAGAGGGGAGGUCCAUGUGUAGCGGUGAAAUGCGUAGAUAUAUGGAAGAACACCAGUGGCGAAGGCGGGUCUCUGGACUGUGACUGACGUUGAGGCUCUAAAGUUUGGGUAGCAAACAGGAUUAGAUACCCUGGUAGUC
rnacentral:rRNA from 1 species